UUAUAAAAAAAAAACUAAGAAAUUCUCUCUGAAAGAGAGAGAGAAAGGGAGCUCCGGACUCCGGCCCUCGCAAACCAGGCUCCGGCCCAUGCGCCCACGCGCCGCCCUAAGGGCCACCGUAUUCGGAGAUCGAAGAGUUCGAAAAACUCUCGUCUCUUCAGAUCCAAAAACAGGUAGUUCUUUUCCUUCAAAAUACCCUUACUAUUUUGCUAACAGUUCAUAUAUGUGCUAAAAAAUAAAGAAUAAGUCACUCGGUUAUCACCUUUGAAACUGUUUGUUCUUUUUUUUAUUUCUAUAUUCCUGUUUGUAUAGAGGGUUACAAAGGGCUUUUUAUAGCCAUUGUUUAUUACAAAAACUGGGAAAGAAAUCGAAAAUUUCUUUCUAUUUCUUGCUCACUGUGUCUUUGACCGUGAUCUGUUGAGAUUUUUAGUUUCCUUUUCUUGCUCUAUGUAUCUGCUGUGUUUCCUUUUCUUGCAGGUAUCCCGAUGAUCUCGGCGUUAACGACGGUACCAAGGCCAGAGGGGAAGCCUGAGAUCGCGGUGCUGGACGGACGCCUUGAUGGCGCGUCAGUGUGCAUUGAUGGCCUCGAUCUGGGGAGUUGCACCGACGCGCCCCGAAGCUUCCAGAAGCUGUUGCGGCGCGAGGGGAAAGAGCUAGGGUUGAAAACCCUAGCUGAUAAUUUUGGGUUUUUUGGGCCUCUGUUAUUUGGGUCUUAGUUUAGGUUUGGGCUUCGAGUGUUUGGGCUAAGGUUGUAAUUGUAAUGGGUAUGGGUUAACGAGUCAAUGUAAAUGGACUUUUAUAUGGACAAUUAUUUAUUUAAUUGGUUUACAGCCCGGUCAAAUUUGGGCUACUACAACCGGUUGAGACAACUAAUUGGAACAACCAACAAACAUAUGAUUUUUUUUUUUCAAAAUGUUUAAAGUUUUUAUAGUUUUGCAAAUGAAAUUUCUUGAUUGGAAUUCAACUAUAAAUAAGAAGACAUAAAAUUUAUAAAAUUGUUUAGUAUUAAAUGUUUUUUUGCACAACUCACGCACCGCUAAUAAAAGAAAAUCACCGCCACAUAUGCAUGCAUCCGUGAUAGGCAAUCACUGUGAUUCCAACCCACAAUGUGGAUAUAGGGUGAUUGCCCUUGGCUAAUAAACUAAAUAUUAG
rnacentral:lncRNA from 1 species